AUCUCUCAAAGUGAGGGAGAAAAUGCAAAAACAAGCAAAAGUAACAAUUGAGAAUUUGACCUUGACCUUUGACCUUGACCUCAUUUUCUAAGUUAAGACCUAGGGGACUCAAAUAAAAACAUUCUAGGGUUAUACGGUUAACUGUUUAUGAGUUAAAUAAACAUACUGACAAAUUUAUUUUGAAAAGGUAGAUAACUCCUAUAAAAUUUCAUCGAAUCGCUUUGAUCAAAAUACGCCAAAAAUUUCUGAGGAUGUAACGAACAAUGUGUAAAAGAAAUUUUGUCGAUAUCAUUUUUUGUUACGGAGGAGAUGCACUCUGAUUAUAAACAGUGAAUAGGGAGAUAACUCUUACAAAGAAUACGGUUUGGCAUAGCAGGGUGAAAUUUAAAAGCGCAUAAACUAUACGAUACAAUAUGAGAAAUAUCUAAGCGACAUAUUGCGAAACAAACAUUUAUCGCAAGAACAAAAGUUGGCGGAAAAAAAAAAAAAUAAUGAUUAAAAACCAAUUGUUCAGAGAACAAUUGAAGGUCUUUCCAC
rnacentral:lncRNA from 1 species